CAGUCUUUCUUUGGACCUACAAGAGAGCUUUAGUCUGAAUUUCAGUGACAGUUUACUCUGACAUUACAAAGUCCUCCCAAAAUACCUGUUCUGCCUGGAACCUUUGAUGUAGACUGAUGCUUUACUUAAACCUGUCAUAGUAUUUCAGAACUAGCAGCAAACAAAACUAUUUUUUAAAUUAUUUUUAUAUUUGGAAGGGCAGCUCCCAGAGGCAAGUGGGGUAGAGAAAAAUCAGAUGAAAGUACUGGCUACAAAGAGUCCUCACCUCCAAGUUGUUUAAAUGUCAGCAGAUGACAUUUAGCUAACCAUGUCUUGAUUCUGCUGUAAUGGAGGUGGAGAGAACCAGAGGAGCUUCAUGUAGACACUUCACCCUUCAGGAAAGGACAUGACAGGUAUAGUUGUCAACCCUGCUUUGUUUAGGAAGGAACAAAUAGCAUGGAUAUGAGCAAAAAAGGAAGGGAAAAAAAACCCCCAAAAAUCAAAAGAUCUGCUUCUGACUGUACAGCUGGGAGGUACACUAGGCUAUUUGAUUGUAAGAUCCUUGUGGGAUUCCCCUUUAUAAACCUAAUUAAAACGUGCACUGACCAUGUGUGACACGAUUCUCUUCACUACCACCUAGUGGGAAACUCCUCCAUAACCCAGCUGCAGAGCUGCUACCAAUCUUAACCUCAGCCUGAUGGUAGAAACAAGGAAUAAGUGGAGAGAGAAAAUGACAGAUUACUGGGAAGGAGGACACAGUCCUGUUUUCACAUACAGGGGAGAAGAGAUUACUUUGGAACAGUUAAUACAAACCCAAAUACCACAAAUGUGAGAAAAACAAGCAGGUAUCUCUUGCUGUCUUCAAACUUUAAGCUUUCCAUGUUACAAUGACCAAGAUUAUAUUAAUCAGAGUGACUUGAGAAUCAAGUCAUGGCCUG